UACGUAGGGGGCUAGCGUUGUCCGGAAUCAUUGGGCGUAAAGAGCGUGUAGGCGGUCCGGUAAGUCCGCUGUGAAAGUCGGGGGCUCAACCCUCGAAUGCCGGUGGAUACUGUCGGGCUAGAGUGCGGAAGAGGCGAGUGGAAUUCCUGGUGUAGCGGUGGAAUGCGCAGAUAUCAGGAGGAACACCGGUGGCGAAGGCGGGACUCUGGGCCGAUACUGACGCUGAGGAGCGAAAGCGUGGGGAGCGAACAGG
rnacentral:rRNA from 1 species